UGCCACCCACUCUCUUCUGGAACUACAUGGAAGACACUCGAACAACACUGCAGGAAAUGAAGAGGAGAGACUUGGCAACAAAUGCGACAUGGUAACAUGCAGAAAGGAUAUAGAGGGUUUUUUGAGGAAACAAGAACAGAGGAAAGAAGAAAAAAUAAGAGAGAGGUUGAAAAAGGGAGGACAUGUGAGAUGCGGAGGAUGUUUAGGAUUGGACCGUCUCCUUUGAUCAGCGUUUUCAAAAUUGCUACGGGCUGCCUGGAAACUCCACCACUCUCUCUUUUCCUAAAACAGAUAGACAUGCACGCAAUAUAGUGACAGAGAGAGAAAGGGAUGAAAAAGCAAUAAAGAGAGGUGAAUGGAAUGGAAAAUGCGGGAAACAUGAAAGGUGAUACCCGCGUACAGACUGUUUCAUCUGCUGAGUGCGGCGAGAUGGAGCUUUGGGACACCAAACUACAUAACAUUUCAUAAGAAACACUGAGAAGGAGAGAGACUCCUGACUGAUAUUUUCACAUUAACACCUGUGGUGAACAGUUUGCAAUAAACCAAAACUGAAAAGAGUGUUGUAUUUUGAGUUUUACAUUUUUAACAAAUUUGAAUGGUGAUUGAUUUAUUUUAUUUCUCACUGUAUACCUACCAGUAUUAGAAGUAUUCUCCUUCUGAAAGACCCCUAAGGGCAAACAUGCUUUGGCAUCAGGAAUUAUGCUUUGACUCAGUUGUUCUGAAAUGGUGGGUCAGAACUGUUCUGACAGAGAA
ensembl:lncRNA